rnacentral:lncRNA from 1 species
UUUCAGGCUUGGUCAAGCGCGAUACAAACCAUGUAGUAGGAGUCCCCCAAGUCGCCGAGCUAGGGGAUCUGCUGAAAAAGGUGACAGACAAGGUAAGCAAUCAGAGCUCCAAGCAAUCAGUCCCAGAUCAGAAGUUUUGAUUUCGAGUUCCGGCUGAUUGUUAUCCUUCUCCUUAUCUUGCAGGUAGCAUGAAGGAUAAAGAGAAGAAAAGGAGAAAAUGUGAUAUGAGAUACUUUUGCUUUUGAAGAAGUAACUUUCCACAGGCUUAUUCUUGAACUGGGCUGGAGGGUUUUCUUGUUUCCACCAGAGUAUAAGGCCGAC